rnacentral:rRNA from 1 species
UACGGAGGGUGCAAGCGUUAUCCGGAUUCACUGGGUUUAAAGGGUGUGUAGGCGGUUGUUUAAGUUUGGUGUGAAAUCUCCCGGCUCAACUGGGAGGGUGCGCCGAAUACUGAAUGACUUCGAGUGCGGGAGAGGAUAGUGGAAUUCCUGGUGUAGCGGUGAAAUGCGUAGAUAUCAGGAGGAACACCGGUGGUGUAGACGGCUAUCUGGACCGUAACUGACGCUGAGACACGAAAGCGUGGGUAGCAAACAGG